UUCCUUCGCCCUCUGAGUGCCACAGUGUAGCACGUCCUCGUGUUUCUUCUCUCUUUUUCGUUUGUGUACUUCCUCUGUUAGUUGUGGAAGCUGCAGCAAUCCCAAGAGCACCAUUUCCGAUUUUUUUUCUUUCGUUUUUUUACUGCUACGUCGAGGCUGUGUUUGACGUUUCCCACGGAUUAUACGAGUUGGUGGUUGUGAUUUGUGGAGGCUAUCCAGUUGCGGUUGUGCUAGCUGCUGGAGUCUCUACUUGUUCCACGAUUCCUAUCACCCACGAACUUUGUUUGUUCUCUGCAAUUCUUCCUGCGUCGUCCACGGAUUUCUGAGCUGGACACUGUUACUGGAGUUGCUGCGGCUCCCACUAUUGCCUGUUCAUCAUCGACUUUGUAUUAGCAGGAAGUGGAAGAGAAUGGAUGACGACGAAGUAUCGUUAUAGGGAACUUCGGUGGCAUCGGUUGCCUGGCUACAUCGGUGACAGCGGUUGGCAAGCGGCGGUUGAGGUUCUCCUUCAGCGGCAUCUUGGCAAGCUGCUACUGUUGCUGUUUAGAUUUUUGUGAGUAGCUCAGUGAGCUGAGGAGAAUUGUGGUGUUCAUCUACUGGUGUAGUGGUUGUUGCAACCAAGGCGCAACAGUUGGAUUCCUGCGAUUGAAGUUGUGGGGCUACAGGUUCUAAUCUGAUUUGGUUUGGUUGUUCUAUUUCCUUGCAUCUAGCUUCUCGUGCAUUUACUUGAUUGCGGGGAUCUUCUUUGGUUUAGUGAUUCCUAGAAAUAUUCCUCUUGUUUUGGUUCUGGUGACAACGGUUUCAUCAAAGCGGCGGUCUGCUCUCGUUGGAGUGUCUUUUCUCUGGACGGUGAAUUUAAGUUGCGACGGGGUUGCUGUCGUGGUCUGGUGGAGGCAAUGGUUCCCUCCUUCGAGUGGCGAGGUCGCAACGGAGCUGAUUCUCAUCGCCUAUGGCAUUGACUCACCUUGGCAAGGGCAUGUUGGUUCUCUUCAUUGACACUCACUGAACCGAUGGUUGGUUCACAUUGCGCAUUCUUAGGCCUACUAAACUAGCAGAUUUUCUCAAUUGACAACCUGAGUGUUGCUCAUUGCUUUUUGGAUUGCGGUGGUGAUCGGCAAUGGUGUGGUCUGCAUCGAAGGAGCUCGCGAUUUUGCAAGCUUGAAGAGGUGUUGGAAUCAAGGGUAGUGAGCGGCAACGAGCUGUAUUUUCCGUCAAUCCAAUUCAGCACAAACGGUGCUUUGAAGCCAAGGUCAAUCGUACUGGCGACGAAACCCACAAGAAGGGAACCUGUUGCAUCAAUCAGUCCAGGAGAAGAGCAAAGACUGAAGGACGGCUUCCCUGUCAGCCUUGCAGAUCGAAAAGGAUUAGAGUCCCGUCAAAAACAUCCAAAUUGUUGUGAGAAAAUUCAAAAAUAUGUGUAAAGGAGCAAUUAAUUUGCAAUUUGAAUGGAUGGUUGUUACAUAAACAAUUUGGACCAGCAACAAUUGGACGUGGAGGUGAUUGGAUGAAUUAGGAUAGAGUUGGAUGAACUUAGAUCAAUGAUGGAUGAAAAUUGGCAUAGUCAUGCAUUUGUCUUAGAAGACUGGAUUACAAAAGACAAACUAUGGCAAAAGAGUUGUCUAAUUAUCUUAGUAAUAGUCAAUGAUACAUUUCAA